rnacentral:rRNA from 1 species
GAUGAACGCUAGCGGCAGGCCUAACACAUGCAAGUCGAGGGAGGAGCUUUCGGGCUUCGACCGGCGUACGGGUGCGUAACGCGUAUACAAUCUGCCUUUCACAUAGGGAUAGCCCGAAGAAAUUUGGAUUAAUACCUAAUGGUAUAUAGGAGUGGCAUCACAUUUAUAUUAAAGCUGAGGCGGUGAAAGAUGAGUAUGCGUUCUAUUAGCUAGUUGGAGAGGUAACGGCUCCCCAAGGCGACGAUAGAUAGGGGUUCUGAGAGGGAUAUCCCCCACACUGGUACUGAGAUACGGACCAGACUCCUACGGGAGGCAGCAGUGAGGAAUAUUGGACAAUGGUCGGAAGACUGAUCCAGCCAUGCCGCGUGCAGGAAGACGGCCUUAUGGGUUGUAAACUGCUUUUGCAGAGGAAGAAUAAGGACUACGAGUAGUUUGAUGACGGUACUCUGCGAAUAAGCAUCGGCUAACUCCGUG